CUCAUUCUUCUUCUUUUUCUCCUUUAUAUCCCAUGCAGUUUUUCUCUAGCUUUUGAGAAGUGGCAAUGUUCACUUUUAGUGCACUCUAUUGGCCUCAGUACUUUUCAUCGUAUGGAAAAUGUAAAACAUGCAGUCUGAUCCCGUUGUUCCAGUUAUUUAUUACUGGGGUAAUAAAGCUUGUGCUUGGAGUUUCUUUUUGUUAUAUUAGAUGCAGAGUGCAUUUCACGGUCUAAAUGACUAAGCACGUAUAACCUAACACCCAGCUCCCCUCGCCUUUGACUGUUCAGAUGGAAAAAGCAGAAUUUAGGGUUAGAAUUAACUGUAUGUGAUUCUUUCUCAUCAGUGUUUGUUCAAGGUCGGAUGUCAUAUUUUAAAUAGCAUUUAUACUUUUUACAUCAAAUUAAUGUUACCACUGAAUUCCAGUUUUUGUUGUAGUUACUGUCUUACAUUGGAAUUGUUUCACUUUUGGUUAGGAAUAAUAGAAAUAUUACGAACAGCCCAAAGACUGGAUUAGCAGUGUGAGGUUUGGAAGAAAAUAUUGUUCUCAGCUUGGCUCUACAUUGGAAGUCAUGCAUUUCUCCUCUUCUUACUUUUCAGCUCAUCUGCACUGCCUCGAGUCUAAUUAAUCAGCCAUUAUGUGGGUGAAGUUAUUUCUACAAAAACUGUGCAGAAUCCACAAAGGUCUGUUCUUGCCAAGUUACAUGAAGCAUUACUCCUGCAGAAGCCUGAGUCUGGCUACCUCCCAAAUACCUGGACUAAAAAAGAAAUAGCAGUGUUAUUUAUUAUUAUUUUAAUUACAGAACUGACAGACUAAGGCCAGUGGGAGAAGAGACAGAAGCAGCAGUAGGAAAUGUGUUUUUGUUUGUUUGUUUGUUUGUUUGUUUUUAAUUCAAGCAAGAUAGAAACAGUUGCAGGAAAAAUGAACAAAACACUUUUUCCUUACCCUGCAUUUUUUAGUAUAGUGAAAAUAUGGUCUCAAGCCCUCCUCUCCACAGUCCGGUGAUUUCACAUAUACUAGUAUGCACUGAACAUGUACAGACUAACCAGUUCAGCUUUGGGACUGUAUGCACAUAUGUAUUAGACCUUUUCAUGUGUAGCAUAUGGUGUAUCACAUUAUCUUACAACUAUUAUAUAGUGGUAUAAAAGUAGUCCACAGUUUGAACUGUACAAAUGACUAGCAGUGGUGAAGCAUUAGUUCCUCUGUCUGAAAUCCCAAUGUCACAUCCAUGCUGAACAUGCAUUUGGACAUUCCCAAGGCAGGGCAGCACACCUCUUUGGCCAAGGAGCCGUGCUUGUUCUCAUAAUUACUCUUGCAUUUAACACAGCUGAUAUUUUUGACAGAGUAGUGAUAGCUAUGAAUUGGGGCUGCAACAAUGAGAUGUGAGAAAUAUGAGCUUUGGAGUCAAUAGAAAUUGACACAGUGUAGAAGGCUCGCUUAUAGUGUCAAGGGGGAAAUGCAAACAGAAACAUAAUUAAACAGUUAUAUCUACAAAAUUAAUCAUAAGUUGGUUCCUUUCACAGUAACUGUUUCCUCUCAGCUCUAGACCAGAAAUUCUGAAGCUCACUGAUAGGCACUGCAAAAUAAUGUGGUACCAUUUGCAUUUUUCAGGUAUAGCAUAGAACAGGUAAAUUUUAAAUCUGUUGCUUGCAACAUAAAGCAAAUGCCUCUUUCUGAAACUCUUGUAAAAGAGUGCAAAAAAUAACUUGGGAUAAGAAUAAUUGGAAAUGUGCUUCAUCUUCCUGCUACUCUGAAUUUCUCACUGCUUUGAGUAAUCUCAAAAGCUUCCAGUACUUGAUAAACCUCAUGGCCAGCUGGGCCAAGUGAAUCACUCCUCUGAAAAAAAAGGAGUUGCACAAGUGGCAUAUCUAGUUUCAUUUUUGCCUGUGCGGUUCCAUAGCUUCUUUUUGACAGAGUGCACCACAUUAUUAGUUAACUAUCGUGUUACUAUGUACUGGGGAGGAUCAUUCUGUCUGAAUCUUAACUUCAAAUUUGCACUGAUUUUUAGUUUCUUGGAUUCGGUUUUAUUUCUUACCAAUACCAUAACCACUUGUGCUAUACCAUGCUACAGCUACAAGAGUCAGACUUUGAAUACCACCUUAGUUUCCCCAGUGACUAGUGAACGCACUCAAUAGCACGUAGUAUGUCUGAUCAGCUGUUUGCUCCUAUUGAAUUUCAAGUUUGGAGUAAAAUCAGAACAUGACCUAAGAUAUUUCCAUAAUCAUUUUAUUUUAUCACCCCCAAUUCCUCUUUUUCAGUAUUAAAUUUGUCAUGGCCAAUGUGUGUGUGUGACACACAUCGUCCAUCCAUGAGUGGAAUGCUAAAUAUCCUGUUACAAUUCCUGUGGGAUGUGUACUCCUUCGUGUGGAUUUCAGAGGCCCCUUACAAGACAUGUCUAGAAGUCUGACACCAUGAAAAAGCUUCUGAAUUUACACAUUGCAACAGACAGUUGGUUUAAAGAGUGGGCAAAGUAAAUGGCUGGCUGGCUGUCCUGCUGAGAAGUACAUAGUGGUAAGGAAGCAAAUUGCAAUGUAAGAUUUAUUGUUUACCAGCAGUAGCUCUUGGCAAGAGGAAUGAAUCUAUUUACAAUAACAAAUUAAGGGAGUUGUACUGGGUCAGACUCAAUUUACAUUCAGUUUCCAGCAGCUGUCAGUAGCGGAUAUCUAAAGAAGAAUAGACAAUAAGAACAUGAUAAACACAGCUAAAACUCCCCCUGUACUCCUGCCAGACUAAAACUAUUCCUUUUGUUCAGAGGCCCUUGAUGUAUUUUUUCUACAUACUUUUCUAAUUGCCUUUUAAUUCGCGUAGGUUUUUGAUACCCUGCAACACCCUCAGUUACUGUAUAGUGAGGCAGAAAAUAAGUUUUCCCUCAUCUUCAUACAUGUGACGAUUUUAUAGCUUCCUUCAAAAAUUUUAUCUCAGUGGAAGAACCUUAUGUAUUCAGUCACUCACUGCAUAAAAACAAUCCCUACUUGCUCUUCUCUGUAUAUUUUCUAUUUCUAAUACAUUUUUUAGAAGUCAUGGGACAAGAAACACGGGUUAUUCAAAUUGCAGGUGAACGUGGACUUUUAAAGUGUUGAGAGAUGCUUUCUGCUUUGUUUUUCAGUCCUGAGAACCCUAUCAACCACUUACUCUUUGUUAACUGAGCAGUGAGUAACAUUUUCACGGGCCUACUGCAAUUCCCUUUUAUUGAGGAACUAGUAUUUAAUAGCCAGGAAACUGGGUAGAAAACAGACUAAAGCUACUCUUCGCGACCUGCAGAGCCCAUUUCUUCCAUAUGUCUGCAGAGCAUGGUCUUCUGGAGUUGCCUGUUAGCAGGCAUCUUCCACUUAGUAAUGCAGAAACGUUGCAGAAAGUUGCAGAAGGAAAAAUAUAGCUGUAAGGGAAAACUUCUCUGCAGCAAGAGAUUAUAGUGAGGGUACCAGGAGCACAGCAGAUUGCAUCAGUGAUGAGGCAGUGGUUAUGUUUCAACACAUUACAGAGAUAUCAAAGGAAAGAAGAUUUGGAAAUAAGGGGACUGAAAAUCUGGAUUAUAUCUAAGUAAUAAAUAAUCACAGUUAAAUAGCUGUGUUACAGAUGCUUCCAUGAAUAUGGCAGGUGAACAAGGAAAAGUCUCCUUGCAAUGGAAACACAAAACUAGGAGCAGGCCUGUGGUUCUCUGAGGAAAUAAACAACAUGCUUGCAGUGCUAAGAGGCACGUAGAUCUGUCACUGAGGAAAGGCAGAGGUAAGGCAGAAGCACAAUUUAUAAUGUUAGUGACAAUAUAAAGUAUAAAACUUUAACUGUGCUGCCCUCUUCUGUGUAUUAGAUAAGGGAAAAGGACAGGGAUUUUUAAAUCUAUCUUUUCUUACACAGAGAACUUUAGUUUUGUGUCCAAAUGUGCAUUUACAAUGCUUAGAAUAGCUGCAUCUUAUAUAAGGCUCCUGGUAGUGACUGAUGGUGACAGAAUUGAAACAUUGCUGUCCUUUUGCUUUAGGUGAUGAAGUCUGAUCUUGUUUCCCAUGUAGGGAAAACUCUAUUUCCCUUUCAUUUCAAGAAAUAAAAAAGCUUGAAGCCAAGACAAAAACUGACACUCACAGGGGAGACUUACAGAUUUGAAUUAGAAAGGCUUUACAUUUCUUUAUAACCCAGUGCAGAAUUCAUGGUUGUCUUCUUCCGUGGUGAGUGAUGUCAUGGAAUCAUUCAUGUAAGAUAUGUAGGCAUUUGGGUGUGAGAGAUGUUAGCAACUGUUCCAGGAGAAACUCAGAAUUUGUCUGGUUGGAAUGUGCUGAGUUUGGCAAAUUCCACAUUUGCGUAACAACAGUAAUAGGCAUCUCUGCUUCUUGAAAAUGUCUCAUUUCCUGUUUUGCCUCUGCUGCUAUUUAUGAUAUUCUGAUGAACACCUCCAAAAUUCUUAUUGUAGAGAUAUACUGGAAUUGUAUAGACUUCAUUAUUUUCACUUUAACUUAUCAAAAUUCUUUCUGAUUUCGUUCUCGAAAAAGAAUGUAAUAAUAAUGAUACGAUUCAUUAUCUACCAGUUUCUCUCCAAAAAGUAUAAGAUGAUCAAGAUCCAGGCUCAUGAUAAACUACAAACAAGCGCAAAUGUAGACUGAGAUAACAGAAUGAUACAAAAUGUGUACCCUAUAUAAAGAGGAUUAUAGGACACUACAGACAUGAAAAACAUUAUUUUAUAAAGGAAAUGACACAUCCCAAAUGUAUACCUUAAUUUUAAAGCUAGCACAAACCAGAGUAAAAUGAAUCAAAACUUCAGUGAUAGGACUCUGUCCUAAAGCUAAAACUGCAGAAUCUUGUCUUUCAUCAAGAAUAUUCUACACCCAAACCAGAUGAAGUGAAGCAGAUAAGAUAUUUUUUUCCCCAUUCAUCUUAUUACUCACAGAAUCAAUACUUCGGUACCACAUCUAGUGAAUACCAUGUCAUCAAAUCUUUGGAGAGGCAGCGGUAUGCUGAGCUGCUGAUCACAUGGGGGAAGCGCCAGGGCGUUAUUGCUCAUGCUCUCAAUCUCUGCAUGUCUCAUGCUUGGGGGCAGAGCUCCCUGUCAGAGAUUUCUUUGACAGGCAUAUUACAAUGUAAAUCUUGGGGCCUUAGGUGUUUAAAAUUGUCUUUCUUAAUUUUCCAAAUCAUCAAAGCUACCUAUAUUCAAAGAAGGACUCAGUAAUCAACACAUUCUCUGGUGGUAAUGAAAUUCAGCGAAUUCUUUGCCUUUCAUGGCAUUUUUCCUGGUUUACAAUUUUGGAAACGAGAUCAGAAACAGGCCUUGACAGUCUUUCCCUCUCUCUACACUUACUCACAGCAAUAAUUAACAUUAACCAGGCAAACACUUCCUUGUCAUCAGAGUCUUAGGUCAAAAGCAUCGGGUCUGUGAUUUCACUGCCUGCUCAUGCACCCAGGGCUGUGAGGGAGAAAUGCUCUUUAUUCAGCAGUUAAUGUCAAAAAGAAUAUGAUGAAUACAGUAAAUUGCAUUUCUUCAAAGGCUCUUUCUUUUCACACUCACCCUGCCCUCUGCAUAAUCCUUUCAUAAUCUCUACCAAAGAAAGGGCUAUAUAUUUGCAUUACUCCUCUGCUCGAGCACAUCAGCACCACUAGAAUCAUUCAGAUGAAUCUACAGCCUUCUAAGGUAACAGCAGCACGUAGCUAGGCAACAAAAAAGAAUAUAGUAUUUUUUCAGGAAGGAGGGCUUUUCUAGAUGAUCUCAUACAGAUGCAGUGCUUUUUGCCUUAUAAGAAGAAAACUGUUCAUUGGAGAAAUGAGUCUGUUAUCCUGUCAUCGUCAAGUCAUAUCGAUAUAUAGGCUUCCCUUGAUGAGCGCUGAAAGAAAAUAACAAGCCAUCAUAUAAUGUACUUAUUUAUUUCUCUGUAUUUAUUACAUAUUUGUAAUUUGAUUUACAGAAGCUGAAAGCCACAAAUGAUUUUAUGGCAGAUUUCAUUAACCAUCAUCCUAAUUAAAAUGGAAUGCUUCAAUAAUUACCAAGUCAGCUGAAAUAAAUUUUAUCUCAGUUCAGCGCAAAUUGUGUCAGCGUUGAAAAAGAGAUUUUGUAAGUGGAAAAGGCAUUCUGUUAUAUGUACAGUCCAUCACUGUAUGUAGUGACGGAGUGCUUGUGAGUGGUGCACACUGAUUUUAUGAAUCUGAACAGAUUCAGCUGAGUGAAAACCAAAAAAUUGGUCUGGACUAAUGGCUACAGCACAGGCACCGGAUGCCUUUGUACCCCAGGCAGAGAAGCGGGCUGAGUAGCUCCCCAUCUGACAGGUACAGUCUGGCUCACAGAGGACUUAGGAGGUGCCAAGACAGUUUCUGCUGUGUUGUGGCAACAGGAACUCAGGUUCUGGAUAAAGACAUUUGCCCCUGUUUCUCAGUGGGGUUUGUGCUGGUAGGGUCUCAGGACAGCCACUGACCCAUGUGAAAUCCUAGCACCAUCUAUUGGGGUAAGGCUAACCUGAGCAUCAUUGCAAUCCACGAUCACAUCUGAUGUGGCAAGUGGACAUCACUUUCAGCUAUCCCGUUUCCAAUUUCUACAUCACACUAAUUUGACAAUUUGUCUGUACUGUAAUUUUAUUUACUUGCAGAGCUGUCAAAUCUUGUUUUACAGUCUGAGUGCAGCAGUGCAGCCUGCACGGCUGGGACAGGUCAUACAAAGCAGUGGCACGAUACCCAACAAGUGCCAGGAAAACAUUCUCCAUGGAGCAGGGAGGUCCCUCUCAAAUUGUCCAUGUUUGUGAAGGAACAUGAUCUGUACAUUGCACUUUUUGUGGCACAUAUUUUUUCUGGUACAGACCUCAAUGUAGUUGAUCAGAGAGACAUUACAUCACAGUCUUGGCAGCUUUCAUGUAUGCAUUUCCUCUCUUUGGCAUGUUAUUUUAUUUGUAUAUUCCAGAGCCUGUUCUGUGGGAUCAUUUCCAUUCUCCCCAGCUGGACUGAGCCACAAUUCAUACUAUGUUGUCUCUUUCAUCUUGUCAUUCUGUGUGGUGUAACAGGGAUUGCCCAGUUAGGCAUGCAAGCCAAAAAAGACACAACUUACUUGCAGCCAGUGAAAGACUCAAGCAACUUUUAAGAGGAUAAAGACUGAAUGUCAGAAGAAGGCAUGCCAUCUUCAUAGUGUUGAUAGCAAAGUUUCUGCAGUUUUAAAGAUUAGUAAAAUAUGUUGCAAGUAUUAAACUAGUGUGAUAUAUUAGCAGAUGUGUAUACAAUCUGCAUCUAAGCCGUAGUGUUUAUUUAUUGAGAAAAAAUAAAAAAAUAAAAAGGAAAAUUAUUAAUUGUAUGACCUGUUAACUGCUUGAGUACAUCUGUGGAGCUAAUGUUUAGACUGUAGAUGAACUGAAAUGUGUACAUGCAAAUGGCAAUGGCAUAUGCAUUUGAAAUAAAGCUUUUGAGAUUGAGGUUAAAGCUAAUAAAACGUUUACUUCUUGUUUGCAAAAUAAAACGAACUCUCCAUUUUUUUGCUAGGGAUGGUCCAAUAUUCUUCUUGCCAACAAAAAUAAAUAUACGACAAGACUUCAUCAGUUAUACGCUAAAAAUAUAGUCCAGAGUAUAACCUCAAUUAAAGCUGUCAGUUUGCAGGAUCAGACCCAGAAUGCUCCAGGGCAGCAGCUGCUCCCGAUUCCCAUGUUACAUUUAUUCCACAGACAUGAUGGAAAUUAUCUUCUGCCCUGUUCUCUCCCUCCAACCCUGUGCAUGGAGCUGAGCUUAAGGCAGGAGCCAGGGACUAUUAACUUGUAAAGAGCACAUCUUUGGCAUCUGAAUCUUGUGUGUGCUGCGGUAAGAUGCUGAAAAGCACCAAAACGGAUGAGACAACUGGCAAAUUACUCAGUGACCCUGAUGAGUGUGUGGAAUGAAGCUGGGACAGCAGGGCUUCCAACCAUCCAAACAACCAGGAUGUUUUUACCACUGCAGACAGGGCUGUUCCUUUCAUCCACAAAGUAAAGUUAAACAAUGGAGAUAACCUGCCACAGGAUGCAAAAGUUCUUUAUAGCAGGAGCCAGCUAAUGAUCAUUAAAACCAGGGAACGGAAGAUUUUUGCUGAAACUGGCAGUGCAUUAUCAUUCAGCAAGAAUUCAAGCUGAGGGAGCCCCCUACAGGAAGAGCUGUGAUCUCAAGCAAAGUAACUGUUUCAUUCAAAUGUCCAAGGAAGUGCUGAUCAUUCAAAGGAUGCUAAGCCAAA